AGUGAACGCUGGCGGUAGGCCUAACACAUGCGAGUCGAACGGCAGCACAGUAAGAGCUUGCUCUUACGGGUGGCGAGUGGCGGACGGGUGAGGAAUACAUCGGAAUCUACUUUUUCGUGGGGGAUAACGUAGGGAAACUUACGCUAAUACCGCAUACGACCUACGGGUGAAAGCAGGGGAUCUUCGGACCUUGCGCGAUUGAAUGAGCCGAUGUCGGAUUAGCUAGUUGGCGGGGUAAAGGCCCACCAAGGCGACGAUCCGUAGCUGGUCUGAGAGGAUGAUCAGCCACACUGGAACUGAGACACGGUCCAGACUCCUACGGGAGGCAGCAGUGGGGAAUAUUGGACAAUGGGCGCAAGCCUGAUCCAGCCAUACCGCGUGGGUGAAGAAGGCCUUCGGGUUGUAAAGCCCUUUUGUUGGGAAAGAAAAGCAGCAGGUUAAUACCCCGCUGCUCUGACGGUACCCAAAGAAUAAGCACCGGCUAACUUCGU
rnacentral:rRNA from 1 species